UUCCAAAAAUGGCAACAAAUUUCAGAAAUUUUAGCCUAAUCUUGGGAAAUUACGAAAAUGCCCUUAGAAGAGCCAAAAUUCCAUUUCUUUUAUUCUCUUUGCUUUCCACGUACAAAGUAAGAAGGAAGCAAUUUCCUUCCUUCCUCUCUUCCCUUGAAUCUGUCCACAUUCAUUUGCUUAAGCCCCAAGUUCUUCUCCUUCUCCUUUACUCUACAUGUUUUCAAAACCAGAAAUUCAGAUUGAAGAAUUCAACCAAAAAUCAAUUCCAUUCCUCUCCUCUCUUGUUUCUCUGGUUCAAACUAACCCCCACCACCACCACUGCUCAACCACCGACCAUUGCACCUAGCCUCAGCCACCCAGCACCACGCAACCACCACACCGCAAUCACCUCAACCACUCGACCACCACCCUCACCCUGCUCUCCACCUCCCUCGAACUCCCCUGCCCCUCCCCUGUUUCUUUUCUCUUUCCUUGCUCACAACACCACCAACGCAACGCCCCACCAUCGUCCAGCAUAACCACCACUGGCGCAACCCUUCCGCGCCGCCUAGCCAGCCUCCAACGACCUCCCUCCUCCCCAUAACUGAUCGGAAAACCGCUCCCCAACUCCCCUGUUUUCUCGCCUCCCUCGCACUCCCUCCUCCCUCUCUCGCCUGUAUCACCACCGCACGAGCAACCACCACCAUCACCGUCGCCUCUAGGCGCGGUUCACGGUGAUGCGCCGCCCAGCCAUCCGCCGCAGCUCUCCCUCCCCUUCGUGACCCCCUGUGCCGUGCACCACUCGACUCCCCUGCUUCUCCCCAGUCGUGCCCCCUUUCUCCCUCUUGCUCGUUGUUCGACCACCGCAGACCACCCACCAGCACCGGCGCAACCCUGCUGCGCCGCCCAGCCUCCCUUUCUCCAUCCUCUCUUCUCUCCUCUUCGUGCUUCCCUUUCCCCUGUUUCGGCCCUCCCCUGUUCCGUGUUCUUGUUCCCAGAAAACCCAAAAUCAGGUUUCAAAUGAAACCUUGAUUUUAUUUUCCUCAAACCCAAUCUAAGGUUGGGCCAUUUUGGUUUGGGCCUUGAAAUUGGACUCGGAGCUCAGGACGAACGAACCAAGGAAAAUCCUUAGCAAAAAUCGCGGAGAUAGGUACCGCUGGGAACGAUGGGAACGAGUAGUGGCGAGGAUUUCACUUUAAUAAUUUCCACCUAGUUUAUGUUUUAAGUUUUAAAUAGUUAAUUAAAUAUUUUUAGUGAGUUAUAUACUUUAUUUUGGUAAUAUAAAGGAUUAUUAUGUUAAUUUUGGAGGAUUUAAUAGCUUAAGAUUGAUGGUUGCCUUGUAAUUCCCAAGAGAGAGUUACGGCAGGUA